rnacentral:rRNA from 1 species
UGUGGCAGUCCACGCUCAUGUCCUUGUCUGAUCUCGAAAGCUAAGCAGGGUUGGGCUUGGUUAGUACUUGGAUGGGAGACCGCCUGGGAAUACCAGGUGCUGUCAGCU